CGAAGCAACGCGAAGAACCUUACCAGGCCUUGACAUGCAGAGAACUUUCCAGAGAUGGAUUGGUGCCUUCGGGAACUCUGACACAGGUGCUGCAUGGCUGUCGUCAGCUCGUGUCGUGAGAUGUUGGGUUAAGUCCCGUAACGAGCGCAACCCUUGUCCUUAGUUACCAGCACGUUAUGGUGGGCACUCUAAGGAGACUGCCGGUGACAAACCGGAGGAAGGUGGGGAGUGACGUCAAGUCAUCAUGGCCCUUACGGCCUGGGCUACACACGUGCUACAAUGGUCGGUACAAAGGGUUGCCAAGCCGCGAGGUGGAGCUAAUCCCAUAAAACCGAUCGUAGUCCGGAUCGCAGUCUGCAACUCGACUGCGUGAAGUCGGAAUCGCUAGUAAUUCGAGAUCAGCAUGCUCGGGUGAAUGCGUUCCCGGGCCUU
rnacentral:rRNA from 1 species